rnacentral:rRNA from 1 species
GAUGAACGCUGGCGGCGUGCCUAAUACAUGCAAGUCGAGCGAACGGACGAGAAGCUUGCUUCUCUGAUGUUAGCGGCGGACGGGUGAGUAACACGUGGAUAACCUACCUAUAAGACUGGGAUAACUUCGGGAAACCGGAGCUAAAACCGGAUGAUAUUUUGAACCGCAUGGUUCAAAAGUGAAAGACGGUCUUGCUGUCACUUAUAGAUGGAUCCGCGCUGCAUUAGCUAGUUGGUAAGGUAACGGCUUACCAAGGCAACGAGGCAUAGCCGACCUGAGAGGGGGAUCGGCCACACUGGAACUGAGACACGGUCCAGACUCCUACGGGAGGCAGCAGUAGGGAAUCUUCCGCAAUGGGCGAAAGCCUGACGGAGCAACGCCGCGUGAGUGAUGAAGGUCUUCGGAUCUUAAAACUCUGUUAUUAGGGAAGAACAUAUGUGUAAGUAACUGUGCACAUCUUGACGGUACCUAAUCAGAAAGCCACGGCUAACUACGUG